GACGAACGCUGGCGGCGUGCUUAACACAUGCAAGUGGAGCGACGAACCGGGGCUUGCCCCGGGGCAGAGCCGCGAACGGGUGAGUAACACGUGGGUAACCCACCCCGAUGACCGGGACAACCCGAGGAAACUCGGGCUAAUACCGGAUGUGCUCCUUGACCUCGAGGUCAAGGCGUAAAGAUAGCUUCGGCCUUCGCAUCGGGACGGGCCCGCGGCCCAUUAGCUUGUUGGUGGGGUAACGGCCCACCAAGGCGACGANGGGUAGCUGGUCUGAGAGGACGAUCAGCCACACUGGGACUGAGACACGGCCCAGACUCCUACGGGAGGCAGCAGUGGGGAAUCUUGCGCAAUGGGCGAAAGCCUGACGCAGCAACGCCGCGUGGA
rnacentral:rRNA from 1 species